CAUGCAACAGUGGGGUCCCUCGGCCUGGUCUGUGCCCCCUCACAAUCUGAGACCCCUCAGGGGAUGUCAGAGAGCUGGUUUUGGCCUGAUCCCACAGGCCAGGCCGAGGGACCCCACUGAUGCACA
rnacentral:pre_miRNA from 1 species